rnacentral:rRNA from 1 species
GGCGGCGUGCUUAACACAUGCAAGUCACGGGGGCUCGCAAGAGCAACCGGCGAACGGGUGCGUAACACGUGAACAACCUGCCCUCGUGUGGGGGAUAGCCGGGCUAACGCCCGGGUAAUACCGCAUACGUUCCCUUGGAGGAGUCUCUGGGGGAGGAAAGCUCCGGCGCACGGGGAGGGGUUCGCGGCCUAUCAGCUUGUUGGCGGGGUAAUGGCCCACCAAGGCGACGACGGGUAGCUGGUCUGAGAGGAUGGCCAGCCACAUUGGGACUGAGAGACGGCCCAGACUCCUACGGGAGGCAGCAGUGGGGAAUCUUGCGCAAUGGUCGAAAGACUGACGCAGCGACGCCGCGUGUGGGAAGACGCCUUUCGGGGUGUAAACCACUGUUGCCCGGGACGAACAGCCUUUUUCGAGAAGUCUGACGGUACCGGGUGA